UACGUAGGGUGCGAGCGUUAAUCGGAAUUACUGGGCGUAAAGCGUGCGCAGGCGGUUAUGUAAGACAGGUGUGAAAUCCCCGGGCUUAACCUGGGAACUGCAUUUGUGACUGCAUCGCUGGAGUGCGGCAGAGGGGGAUGGAAUUCCGCGUGUAGCAGUGAAAUGCGUAGAUAUGCGGAGGAACACCGAUGGCGAAGGCAAUCCCCUGGGCCUGCACUGACGCUCAUGCACGAAAGCGUGGGGAGCAAACAGG
rnacentral:rRNA from 1 species